rnacentral:pre_miRNA from 1 species
CCUGAGAUGGGGAACGAUAAAAAACGGACAAACAAAACAAAAUCUCAACUCAUGUUGUGUUCGUCCGUUUUUUUAUCGUUCCCCAUCUCAGGUUU